UUAUUGAGCCGGCUCAGCUGAAAUAUACGAGCGACCCAAUGUUUCUAUUAUACAUAUGAUAACGGCUUGACUCGGCGUAAUAAUACUUUUCGCUGAGGACGUUUCAUUAUAAAUGAUUUAUUGACGCUACCAAUGCGACUUUAAUUAGUCAAUUCAUAACUCUAGACCUCAAAUCAGAUAGGACUACCCGCUGAACUUAA
rnacentral:misc_RNA from 1 species